rnacentral:rRNA from 1 species
CGGGAGCUGCUGGACCUGAUCGCGUGGCAGGUUCUUGCGGUCGCCGAUUUGCAGGACUACGUCCGGCUCCGUGCCGUGUGCGCGCACUGGCGCGCCAGCACCGCCUGCCCGCGCGGCCGCGGCAUCGUCGACCGGCGCUUCCACCCACGAAAGUGGAUGAUGCUGCCUGAGGUCCACGGCCUCUACCUGGGCAACAGCAGGCUGCGCGGCUUCGUCCGCUUCUUCAACCUCUCCACCGGCGCCUUCGCCCGUGCCAACCUCCCGCUAUUCACGGACCACUGCGCCCUCGACUCCAUUGACGGCCUCCUCCUGCUGCAGCGGGACCACGACACCGCCGUCCGCCUCCUCCACCCCUUCACCGGCGACGUCCUCGACUUCCCGCCUCUGGAGACCCUCCUGAGGCACGCGGGCGCGGCGACGCCCGACGCCAAGUGGUGUCGUAUAUGAAAUAUCGUUGCCGCCUCUAUGAACGUGGGCGCGAACGGAGUCGUCUCGCUCAUGAUUUUGAUGGCACACCCUUGGAGCAAGAUAGCAUUUGCCACCUCCGAAGAUCCACAAUGGAGGGUUUCAAGCUGGUUCGCCUCCCGAAGUUGUCGUCCAACCUCGUUCCAAGGAAAGAUAUAUGCGGUCCGUUUUACCACAAGUUUCGCCCAACCAGAGGUGCUAGAGACCGGCCCACCACAGCUACAGGGGGUGGAAGAACCCUGGCUGCCACCACCAAGGUCGAUUGCCAAAUGCCCAGCAAGCACACCCGACACCUUUUACACGUACCAUCUGGUAGAAUGCGGCCCAGAGAUCCUGGUGGUCAUUCUAAGCCACAACUACAAGAAGAUUGCAGUUUACAGACUAGCUGACCUUAUGCUGGGAAGGUUUGUGCCAAUGACAUGCAUCGGUGGCAACGCCCUCUUCAUCGAAGGGAGGACGCUGUGCGUCAGUUCCAAAGCGUUUCCUACCAUUGUGGGUGACACCAUCGUCUUUCUCAAUAGGAAGCAACAUUGUCUUGCUCAAUACCACCUGGGCAGCGACACAUUGUUAUCGGCAGAAUAUAGAUUUGCGGACGCAUAUGCUAUGAAAAUUCCUUGUAGCAUAAUUCAACAUAUCUACACAUGUUGCUAUCGUAAAAUAUGGAACAAGGGACAGAUAGUGUUUCGGAAGAAGCAGAACAAGUGGCGGGUGAAGGGAAAGUGGCGAAUUGGGGUACGUACAUCUUUGCCUACGAUGGUAUGA